GAGACAGGAGAAUCGCUUGAACCUGGGAGGCCCAGACCCCGCGGGAAUUGAAAUCUUACCACACCUGCUGCAGCAGCAGAGAGAGAGAUCCCAAUUGCCAGAGAGGGCACAGAAAUACAGGAAGCAAUAAUGAGUUUCAUAAGAAGUGGAGGAAUCAUAACAGGAGCAUUGGAACAUCAGACAGCUGGAUCCUCCGAGUGGCCUGGCAGUCCUGGCUCCUUCCGGAGUGGCCAACCCAGCUUCCUAGGCUGAACACCGGACUGGCCUCCAGGAGCAGGAGGGUGAUGAGGAAAAAGGCAGCUCAUCCAAGCUGCUGUCUAGUUAUCCCCAUCUGUCCAUCUGUCUCCUCAGCAAACACAUUCUUAGUCACCACCUGGAGCCUGUGACUCUCCCAGUUAUCUAAAGGGACAAACCCUUGGCCUCCUCUUCCCACUGGUGCACUACUGUGCAACCUGCACAGGCUGUGGUCAUCUG
rnacentral:lncRNA from 1 species